rnacentral:misc_RNA from 1 species
GAUGAAGAACGCAGCGAAAUGCGAUAAGUAAUGUGAAUUGCAGAAUUCAGUGAAUCAUCGAAUCUUUGAACGCACAUUGCGCCCGCCAGUAUUCUGGCGGGCAUGCCUGUUCGAGCGUCAUUACAACCCUCAGGCCCCCGGGCCUGGCGUUGGGGAUCGGCGGAAGCCCCCUGCGGGCACAACGCCGUCCCCCAAAUACAGUGGCGGUCCCGCCGCAGCUUCCAUUGCGUAGUAGCUAACACCUCGCAACUGGAGAGCGGCGCGGCCACGCCGUAAAACACCCAACUUCUGAAUGUUGACCUCGAAUCAGGGAGGAAUACCCGCUGAACUUAAGCAUAUCAAUAAGCGGAGGA